AAUUUAUGAUUUAUGAAUAUGCCUGUUAACAAAUCACCUAUGAUUAAUACAUGUGGAGGCAUAUCUUCCCCUUAUCAUGAAGAGCUCUGGAAAUUAAAUUUUCAACAUUUAAGUGGAGAAAGGGGUCAUAAAUCAAGAUUAUUUCCUUGGGAUAAAGUUUCUACAAUGAGUGCAAGAGCAAUUGAAAAGAACUUUCACAAAGACUUUACAGUCACAAAUAUUAUACUUUUUCUAGU
rnacentral:sRNA from 1 species